CUUGUAUUAUUGUUGGGUUUUUCAUAGCAUUGCUUAUUUCUUAUACAUCAACCUCUAUAGGAGUGUGACAAGAUUAACAUUACACAAGCUUUGAUUUAUCCUCUACGUCUCCAUUACCUGAGAUGCUUUGGAGAGGCAUCUAUAUAGCAGGGAUUGCAACAGAUUGUAGACAGUCUCAGCAGCCAUUGUAUCACACAAAUGAGAAUUCUGCCUACUACCAUCCAUCCCCACGGGAUGUAAUGAUGAGAGCCAUAGAAACUAUAAACCAGAAUUUACAUCAGAGAUUAUACAUCUACAAAAGUACAGAGUUCAAGAACAGCCAGAGGCAGACCUUGUGUUUGACUCAAGGAAGAGAGAACACUGUAGGUGUGUUGAAUGUAGAAAAUUGAAAGCAUUCUAUUUGCAUGUGUAUUCUUAUCUAACAAUUUUGAA
rnacentral:lncRNA from 1 species